CCUACGGGUGGCAGCAGUGGGGAAUAUUGCGCAAUGGGCGAAAGCCUGACGCAGCGACGCCGCGUGAGUGAUGAAGGUCUUCGGAUCGUACACCUCUGUCAGCAGGGAAGAACGGUCACUGUGCUAAUCAGCAGUGAAUUGACGGUACCUGCAAAGGAAGCACCGGCUAACUCCGUGCCCGCAGCCGCGGUAAUACGGAGGGUGCGAGCGUUAGUCGGAAUUAUUGGGCGUAAAGCGCGCGUAGGCGGUCUGUCAAGUCAAGGGUGAAAUCCCCGCGCUCAACGUGGGAACUGCCUUUGAAGCUGGCAAACUGGAGUGUGGGAGAGGAUAGUGGAAUUCCAGGUGUAGGAGUGAAAUGCGUAGAUAUCUGGAGGAACAUCAGUGGCGAAGGCGACUAUCUGGUACGUAACUGACGCUGAGGAGCGAAAGCGUGGGUAGCAAACAGGAUUAGAUACCCGUGUAGUC
rnacentral:rRNA from 1 species